rnacentral:rRNA from 1 species
UACGUAGGGUGCGAGCGUUGUCCGGAAUUAUUGGGCGUAAAGAGCUUGUAGGCGGUUUGUCGCGUCUGCUGUGAAAUCCCGGGGCUUAACCCCGGGCGUGCAGUGGAUACGGGCUGGCUGGAGGCAGGCAGGGGAGAACGGAAUUCCCGGUGUAGCGGUGAAAUGCGCAGAUAUCGGGAGGAACAUCGGUGGCGAAGGCGGUUCUCUGGGCCUGUACUGACGCUGAGGAGCGAAAGCGUGGGGAGCGAACAGG